rnacentral:rRNA from 1 species
UACGGAGGGUGCAAGCGUUGUCCGGAAUCACUGGGCGUAAAGCGCACGCAGGCGGUCUGCUAAGUUUGGAGUGACAGUUGGUGGCUUAACUGCCAAAGUGCUUCGAAAACUGACAGACUUGAGGGCUUCAGAGGGACACGGAAUUCCGGGUGGAGUGGUGAAAUGCGUAGAGAUCCGGAGGAACACCAAAGGCGAAGGCAGUGUCCUGGGGAGUACCUGACGCUCAGGUGCGAAAGCCAGGGGAGCGAACGGG